AUUAUUCCAUUCAAGUCCCAUGGUUAUGAAAGGGUAAAAAAGUAAUUUGUCUAUUAUCCUUUCUUUUCUUUUCUCUCCUCUAUCUUAUCCAAACAAAAAUAACUAUCACUUUUUUUCUUUUCUCUCCUAUCUAUCCAAACACAAAUAGAAAUUAUUACUAUCAUUUCUUUUCUUUUCUUUUCUUUUCUCACUAAUACUAUCCUUUCUUUUCUUUUCUUUUCUUUUCUCUCAUUACUAAUACUAUCCAAACACACCCUUAUUGUCCAUAAAACUAAAGGUGAACCCUAAAAUCUUAAACUUCGAGUUCGUGAUUGUUCAGUCUGAGUUCAUUAAUUGGAGGCGAAACCAUUCUUGAAUUGAUGAUUCUAAAUUUCUAAGACCUCUUUUAUCUGGGUAGUGUGACUCAGAAAUAAUCGAUCCUGUGUCCUCAGGAGGAAGCCAAAACAAAGAAGGUUUGAGUUUCAUCAGGACCUCUGGGUCAAAAUGAUCUGACCAUCUCCUGCUCUUUGAGGUUUCUCUGCGUAAACUGUUCGUCCUUCCAGGGUGUUGAGGGGAUGGGGAUGGUUAGGUACCAAUGAAUACUUCAAUUAUCAGGAGAGAGAUGAAGAAUUCUUGAAUGUGCUCCCUCAUGAGGCAGUCUUGCAUGUGGUUCAGAUAGGAAACUGACCUCUGCGAACAUAAGUAUCAAUGCUGCUGAGAUGAGAAUAGCACUCCAAUCUUUAGCCAGAUGAUCAAGAAAAAGAGGAAGAGCCUGAAAAAACAAACAGCUCAUGUAAAGAACUGUGUCUAUAGUCCAACAAAAUAGUUUAAAACAACUGUAAUAUAGCAUUUACCGUCAUUGCAGCAGCAUCGGAGAUUAAAAGAGUGCAGAGCAAUAGAUGCCGUCUCUUCAUGAGUGGCAAUAUCUUUGCUGUUAUGACAACAUAAUAGCUGUUAAAUUUGUGUUGCAGACUGCUCAAUCACUCUCACUCAAAAACCAGAUAUAAGAACAAUAGUGGUAAAGCAAUGUCACAGAGUACAUUCUUGAUUUUUCUCAUAGACAUUACCUAAUAACAUCAUUGUCUUUUUAUGUUGAUAACAAUUCAGGGUAUGUAGACUAUUAUUUAAGAACUCAAUUCCCUAAACAAAUCCACACACAUUGAGUUCAUAGAAAUCAAUUCAUCCACCACCUCUGUUCCAUGCUAGUGCACCCAAUAAUUUUGAAUUGCUUCUACACACACACACAAUUUGUUGGUGUGAAAUCCCACAGUAAACAACAGGAGUCCUAGGAUGUCUAAAUGCCUUGAUUUGCAUUGUAAUGACCAGCUAACUCAAUUAUCAGACCCUAAGAUACAUUUGAAGUAUACCCAAAAUUUGUUGCUAACUUUACUAAUAAAUACUGCUUUAACAUUAUUAAUUAAUCGAACAACACAUAAUUAAAGAGAGGAGAGAAAUUAAUUAUAGUGUGAAGAAUGAAAAAUUAGAAAGGGUGAGGUUGGGUAGGAAAAGGGUAUUUACAGGCAUGAAGACUGUCACCGGGGGUUCCAGACUUGGCAAGAACUUCAAGAUCAACGCGGUUCAUGGUCAUGAGGCCCAACGUGAGUCCAUUCAUCACCCCGGCAAACACCACUAAUGCAGCGCUGACUAUGAUGUGAGCGAAGAACUGUCUUUCGCAGCAUUUGUAGUGCCUUAGGUUGUGGUGCUCGUGACCACCUGACAUUGCAAUAUAAUCGUUUGUGUCCCGCUAACGUUGUUAGUUGUUAUUCUUUCUUGUUCAAUUACUAUACAUAUAUAUAUAGCUCUGUUUCUGUUUGUGUUUCAACUUUUAGUUUGCAUAC